rnacentral:rRNA from 1 species
AGAGUUGAUCCUGGCUUAGAAUCAACGCUGGCGGCGUGCCUAACACAUGCAAGUCGAACGAGAAAGUGGAGCAAUCCAUGAGUAAAGUGGCGCACGGGUGAGUAACACGUGACUAACCUACCCUGGAGUGGGGGAUAACUGAGGGAAACCUUAGCUAAUACCGCAUAAUACCUACGGGUCAAAGGAGCAAUUCGCUUUGGAGGGGGUCGCGGCCGAUUAGUUAGUUGGCGGGGUAAUGGCCCACCAAGACGAUGAUCGGUAUCCGGCCUGAGAGGGCGCACGGACACACUGGAACUGAAACACGGUCCAGACUCCUACGGGAGGCAGCAGUGGGGAAUUUUGCGCAAUGGGGGGAAACCCUGACGCAGCAACGCCGCGUGGAGGAUGAAGUCCUUCGGGACGUAAACUCCUUUCGAUCGGGACGAUUAUGACGGUACCGGAAGAAGAAGCCCCGGCUAACUUCGUGCCAGCAGCGGC